rnacentral:rRNA from 1 species
ACGUAGGGUGCGAGCGUUAAUCGGAAUUACUGGGCGUAAAGCGUGCGCAGGCGGUUCGCUAAGUCAGAUGUGAAAUCCCCGGGCUCAACCUCGGAACGGCGUUUGAAACUGGUGAACUAGAGUACGGUAGAGGGGGGUGGAAUUUCAGGUGUAGCGGUGAAAUGCGUAGAGAUCUGGAGGAACACCAGUGGCGAAGGCGGCCCCCUGGGCCGAUACUGACGCUCA